rnacentral:lncRNA from 1 species
GUUGAUCCUAAGAGCACUCCCUAAUAGAAGUCAUGCACAUCAAAUUAUUGCAGAGUCUGCUUCCCAGAGAACCAACCUGCAACAAGUGGCUACCAAGUACCAGGCACUCUGGGGGACCUCCACUUCCAUCGCAGUGCUUUUCAAAGUGUGAUCAGCCCAGCACCUGCAUCCACAUCUUCUGGGAUGCUGCUUAAAAAUAGAUUCCUGGGCUCAACACUGAAUCUUCUCUCGGCAGAGUGGAGCCUGAAACCUGCCAUUAAAUAAGCUCUCCAGGUAAUUCUUGUGCUUGAUAAGCUUAAGAACCACAUUUUUAGAUUUUAGUAAUUACCUUUACUGAUUGCCAGAUCUGUGUUUCCACCUCUUGUUUCCAAAGCAUCCCCAAGGUUUGUUGAUUCUGCAUCUGAAGCAUCUCUCAAAUCUGUGUGUUCCAUUCACAUUUGCGGUCUCUUACCUGGCUCACAGCUUUAUUUGAAUCAUUACAAUAGCCACCGAGCUAGUAUCUGUGAUCUUUCUAAACCACACAGCUAACCCAUGUCAUUUUCCUUUCUAAAACCAUCAGUGGUUUUCCAUUCUCUCCCCUCGGGGUCCCGUUUCAACACUUUUUAAAUCCUCCCUCUCUAACAAGAAUCAGUUUAUGUGCCAAUUUCUCUGGAAAAUUCUCAGCUGAAUGGGGUCUCCGCUCCCACUUUGAUGCCCGAAGAGCUCUGUCAUCUCUUAAGGUAUUUAUUCACUUUACCUUUAGUAGAGCUAUUUAUUUAUCUGUCUUAUUUCCUCAAAUCAUGUUCCAUGAGUUCAGGAAAUGCAAUUCAUUCAUCUUUUUAUACUCCAAAGCACUUAGCCCAAUGAUUGGUACUCAAUAAAUGUUUGUUGAAUGAAUGAUUGAGCUCAUGUUUGGUUCAAAAUAUAGUUUUUCAUUCUGUGUUUUUUCUCUUCCAGUAGUUAAAAAUGAAACCCACAAGAUAGUAAUUCAAAAAAUGUUGUUCAUUCAUUUCUGCUAAAAGAAAAACACUGACAGCCAAGCACUGACACUCAUUUGUGAUAAUCAUCAAUUUAGAUAUUGCAAUGAAUUUCAAAAACAAAUGUAUCAUAAUCAAGGAACAUAAAACCAUUUACUAAGUAUGACAAAGGACAAAAAACCUUUGCGUCCCCAAUCAUGGUCACAAAACAGGAUUCAAAAUGAAUGCAAAGACAAGCAGCCCUUUGUGAAUAUUCAAUGUGUAAUAUAAUUUAAAUAUAGCAAGGGAGAGAGUUGACACUCAGAACUCCACUCCUCAAGGUAACUUUUCCUUGUUCUCCAGUUUGCAACAAUUUUGCCUUCUCUUAGGCAGAUAUAAAGCUUGGGUGUACUGAGUGGAUUUGAUCACCUACACCGAUCCCUGCCCAUAGACUGUCUUCACACUGCAAGUCUGUUUCUACUGCUGGGCUGGGGGAGAUAUGUCUAUGGCAUUACAGCUGGGAGUGUGGACUUUUUUUCCUAAGAAAAAGAUGCUAUACAUGAGGCUAAAUAAAUCAAAAUAAAAUUUUGAAGAAUCCUAUUUACUUAUUUAUUUAUUGAGGUGGGGUCUUGCUAUGUUGCCCAGGCAAGAGUGCAAUGGCUAUUCACAGGUGUGAUUCCACUACUGAUCAGCACAGGAGUUUUGAAUUACU